rnacentral:lncRNA from 1 species
CUUGGCUAGGCUCCUUGGCUGUCUGGGAGAAAAAUUUUCCAGUCCAUGGAAAAUUCCGCAGUAUUCUAUUAGACAAUCCUCCCAACUUUCCUGUGAAGCUAGAAGAUGCACUGUCCAUUUGUGCUUGAGUUGCUUGGAAUUGCAGAAAUGUGAUGGACUAGUGAAGAAAAUGGCAAAGUUGGAUAUUUACAAGAUGAGAAUGAGAACCUGGGGCAGCCUUGGAAAACAGGCUGACGGGCUGACCUUCAGUGAUUUUGAGAACUUUCCCUUAGUUUUCAAAAGUCUUGUCUUCUAUCUUCAGUCUCAUUAACUUCUGCAUCUGACAAAUCAUCCUCAGAAGACAGUUUCUUGGAGAAAGGUUGCUGUGGGCCUCUCUCAGGAAUGUGACCUUGAGAAGCACUCCAUUCCUCGGGCCUCUCAGCGAGGCCUGGACUUGACUCAGACCCAGGAAAACCUUCAUCCCCAGUGACAUCAGACACAGGCACAGGAAAACCAUCAUCCUCAUUGACAUCAGACAUAAUCACAGGCUGAACUACAACACCAAAUUUCUAGCAUUUUGCAGUGAGACCUUCAAAAUCAAUCACAACUAGAAUCCUAUACUUGCUGUGUUCACAUUCCCUUGAUAACUUUGUUUGCCCCUUUUGUUUCAUGUCUAAAGUGUAUUUGUAAAAGCUCAGCUGAAGUUUCAAGUUACUGUAAUAUGAGAAAACUGAGAGCCGAAUAAAAUUUUCAUUUGGGGAGACAGAAUUCUUAUUUGUGAGAACAAUGAUCUUAUUUUAACAACAAAAAGGGAUGUGUGUGAAGAGUGAAGAAUCCUGGAGCCCUGUUUGCCAGCUGCUUGUCCCCAAAUAUUGGUAUUUUGACAGGUAUCAUUAUUAUGAAUUAUUUGCCUCCAGUUUA